rnacentral:ribozyme from 1 species
AAGAGAACAGAUCAAAUCGGCAGCGAGAAAAAAAUACGACUGUAAUUUCCGUCACUGUUUUAACAUUUCUUUCUCUCUUUUUUCUUUCUCCAUU